rnacentral:rRNA from 1 species
GAUGAACGCUAGCGGGAGGCCUAACACAUGCAAGCCGAGCGGUAGAGUCUCUUCGGAGACUUGAGAGCGGCGCACGGGUGCGGAACACGUGUGCAACCUGCCUUUAUCUGGGGGAUAGCCUUUCGAAAGGAAGAUUAAUACCCCAUAAUAUAUUGAGUGGCAUCACUUGAUAUUGAAAACUCCGGUGGAUAGAGAUGGGCACGCGCAAGAUUAGAUAGUUGGUGAGGUAACGGCUCACCAAGUCAGCGAUCUUUAGGGGGCCUGAGAGGGUAAUCCCCCACACUGGUACUGAGACACGGACCAGACUCCUACGGGAGGCAGCAGUGAGGAAUAUUGGACAAUGGGUGAGAGCCUGAUCCAGCCAUCCCGCGUGAAGGACGACGGCCCUAUGGGUUGUAAACUUCUUUUGUAUAGGGGUAAACCUAGAUACGUGUAUCUAGCUGAAGGUACUAUACGAAUAAGCACCGGCUAACUCCGUGCCAGCAGCCGCGGUAAUACGGAGGGUGCAAGCGUUUUCCGGAUUUUGGGUUUAAAGGGUCCGUAGGCUGAUUUGUAAGUCAGUGGUGAAAUCUCACAGCUUAACUGUGAAACUGCCAUUGAUACUGCAAGUCUUGAGUGUUGUUGAAGUAGCUGGAAUAAGUAGUGUAGCGGUGAAAUGCAUAGAUAUUACUUAGAACACCAAUUGCGAAGGCAGGUUACUAAGCAACAACUGACGCUGAUGGACGGAAGCGUGGGGAGCGAACAGGAUUAGAUACCCUGGUAGUCCACGCCGUAAACGAUGCUAACUCGUUUUUGGGUUUUCGGAUUCAGAGACUAAGCGAAAGUGAUAAGUUAGCCACCUGGGGAGUACGAACGCAAGUUUGAAACUCAAAGGAAUUGACGGGGGCCCGCACAAGCGGUGGAUUAUGUGGUUUAAUUCGAUGAUACGCGAGGAACCUUACCAAGGCUUAAAUGGGAAAUGACAGGUUUAGAAAUAGACUUUUCUUCGGACAUUUUUCAAGGUGCUGCAUGGUUGUCGUCAGCUCGUGCCGUGAGGUGUUAGGUUAAGUCCUGCAACGAGCGCAACCCCUGUCACUAGUUGCCAUCAUUAAGUUGGGGACUCUAGUGAGACUGCCUACGCAAGUAGAGAGGAAGGUGGGGAUGACGUCAAAUCAUCACGGCCCUUACGCCUUGGGCCACACACGUAAUACAAUGGCCGGUACAGAGGGCAGCUACACAGUGAUGUGAUGCAAAUCUCGAAAGCCGGUCUCAGUUCGGAUUGGAGUCUGCAACUCGACUCUAUGAAGCUGGAAUCGCUAGUAAUCGCGCAUCAGCCAUGGCGCGGUGAAUACGUUCCCGGGCCU